rnacentral:rRNA from 1 species
ACGUCGCGAGACAGUUCGGUCCUCUAUCCUCUGUGGGCGCAGGAAAAUUGAGGGGUUCGGUUCCUAGUACGAGAGGACCGGAAUCGACGCACCUCUGGUGCACCGGUUGUUCUGUCAAGAGCAUGGCCGGGUAGCUAAGUGCGGAAGAGAUAAGCGCUGAAAGCAUCUAAGCGCCAAGCCUCCUCCAAGACCAGAUCUCCCGGGCUUUCGGGCCCCUAAAGGCAGGUUGAAGACUACGACCUUGAUAGGCUGGAGGUGUAAGCGUGUAUAUCUAAAGACGUUAGCUGACCAGUACUAAUUCGCCGUGAGGCUUGAUCUUAUUUUUC